AUGAAGGACGAGUAGGCAAUGGCGGAAGAGGCGCCAUUCUUUGAAGCGAAGGAAGAUGAAGAAGACGACAAAAGAGGCGAAGGAGAAUUUUCGUCAGGGAAAAACAAAAAGAGAUAAAAGAGAUGGAAGAGACAAAAGAAUGAGAAGCUUGGGGAAGAAGAAAAGGCCGCCGUAUCGAACUGUCACAUCGAAGCAAGUUUCGAGGUCGGCUAUAAUGAUGAAUAGACGGCGGUACUUAAGAUGACCUAAUUAAUGCCGCAUAUGAGAUAAAAGUAGAGAAUGUGAUCAAGGUCGUAAAGAAGAGAGUCAGCGGCCAAGAUUAAACCGUACAAAAGAUUGUGCUACGGAUUGCUGCAGAGAAUUUGAAUUUGAUUGAACCGAGG
rnacentral:lncRNA from 1 species